GCCGGGCACGGUGGCGCAUGCCUGUCAUCCCAGCAGCUUGGGAGGCUGAGACAGGAGGAUCUCGAGUUCAAAGCCAGCCUCAGCAACUUAGCAAGCCCUAAGCAACUCAGUGAGACUCUGCCUCUA
rnacentral:sRNA from 1 species